GACGAACGCUGGCGGCGUGCCUAAUACAUGCAAGUUGAGCGAUGAAGAUUGGUGCUUGCACCAAUUUGAAGAGCAGCGAACGGGUGAGUAACGCGUGGGGAAUCUGCCUUUGAGCGGGGGACAACAUUUGGAAACGAAUGCUAAUACCGCAUAACAACUUUAAACAUAAGUUUUAAGUUUGAAAGAUGCAAUUGCAUCACUCAAAGAUGAUCCCGCGUUGUAUUAGCUAGUUGGUGAGGUAAAGGCUCACCAAGGCGAUGAUACAUAGCCGACCUGAGAGGGUGAUCGGCCACAUUGGGACUGGGACACGGCCCAAACUCCUACGGGAGGCAGCAGUAGGGAAUCUUCGGCAAUGGACGAAAGUCUGACCGGGCAACGCCGCGUGAGUGAAGAAGGUUUUCGGGUCGUAAAACUCUGUUGGUAGAGAAGAACGUUGGUGAGAGUGGAAAGCUCAUCAAGUGACGGUAACUACCCAGAAAGGGACGGCUAACUACGUG
rnacentral:rRNA from 1 species